rnacentral:rRNA from 1 species
GAUGAACGCUGGCGGCGUGCCUAAUACAUGCAAGUCGAGCGAACGGACGAGACGCUUGCUUUUCUGAUGUUAGCGGAGGACGGGUGAGUAACACGUGGAUAACCUACCUAUCAGACUGGGAUAACUUCGGGAAACCGGAGCUAAUACCGGAUGAUAUUUUGAACCGCAUGGUGCAAAGGUGAAAGACGGUCUUGCUGGAACUUAUAGCUGGAUCUGCGCUGGAUUAGCUAGUUGGUAAGGUAACGGCUUACCAAGGCAACGAUGCAUAGCCGACCUGAGGGGGGGAUCGGCCACACGGGAGCUGAGACGCGGUCCAGACGCCUACGGGAGGCAGCAGUAGGGAAUCUUCCGCAAUGGGCGAAAGCCUGACGGAGCAACGCCGCGCGAGUGAUGAAGGCCUUCGGAUCGUAAAACUCUGUUAUUAGUGAAGAACAUAUUUGUAAGUAACUGUGCACAUCUUGACGGUACCUAAUCAGAAAGCCACGGCUAACUACGUG